rnacentral:sRNA from 1 species
AGCAGCCGCGGUAAUUCCAGCUCCAAUAGCGUAUAUUAAAGUUGUUGCAGUUAAAAAGCUCGUAGUUGAAUUUCGGGGUUAGUAGGUCGGUCAUGCCUCUGGUAUGUACUGGUCUCACUGAUUCCUCCUUCCUGAUGAACCGUAAUGCCAUUAAUUUGGUGUUGCGGGGAAUUUGGACUGUUACCUUGAAAAAUUAGAGUGUUUAAAGCAAGCUAACGCUUGAAUACAUUAGCAUGGAAUAAUGAAAUAGGACGUUCGAUCCUAUUUUGUUGGUUUCUAGGAUUGACGUAAUGAUUAAUAGGGAUAGUUGGGGGCAUUAGUAUUCAAUUGUCAGAGGUGAAAUUCUUGGAUUUAUUGAAGACUAACUACUGCGAAAGCAUUUGCCAAGGAUGUUUUCAUUAAUCAAGAACGAAAGUUAGGGGAUCGAAGACGAU